ACCAUUUAAAUCAUUUUUUGAAUGGCUGAGAUUAAAUUUCUAUGGGUCGUUACAUUCAGCCACAAUCUGCCUAUAGUUCAUCGCCAAUUUUUGGAAAAGGGUAUUAUUGGGUCUUGUAAUUUAAUCUCUCUCUUAAUAACUAGUAACCGCAAUCAAAGCCAAAAUUUUGGGAAACAAAAAUCUUAGCAUUUACUAGGGUUUGAGUUACUUCUUCUUGUUGGUGGCGCAUGAUUUCGAGAACUCAUAAAUUCACUCUCAAUUUAUUUUUAGUGCAAUCUGCCAGAAAUUCAAGCCCCUUUGAAUCAACUAAAUUCAUUCAACAUUGUUAGGUUAUGGCAAGAACAAAAGGGAGCAAGAAUGUUGUGAAGCCUGCGGACGGAGGAAAGUCAGAUAAGCAAAGGUUUUUUAAAGUGGAGGGCGGCUGUUGUCGCACGUCCUGGUGGAGGGUGGCGCGGUGGUUCUGAAUCGCGUAGGGGCGCGGGGUGGCGUCGGGACGGCGUGGCAGUUGCAGGUGCGGACGGUGGGAGACUGGCGUGAGUUGUGGUGGUGGCGGUGCUGCUGCUCGGCGUCUGGAUCCGGCGCUGUGUGCAAGAGAGAUGAACAGAGGUGGUGCAUGGAUGAACGGAGACGGGAUCUGGAGUAAGGAGGCGUGGCAAAUAUGCGCAAGGCGGCGCUAACAGCGUCCGGUUGAACUGAAGUGGUGGGCGGAGCCUGGCGUCCAUACUAGAAGCAACUUGGAGAACAGGCCGCGCUCUGCAUGGCGUUCAAUUAGGGCCGAGGAUUUAUCUGCAAUUUCAGCAUAUUAUUAUAUUAUGCAUACAAUUUCACUAUGUUUAUACUAACUUUAUGUUGUAAUGGAUGAGUAUGAAUUUAAUGUUGAAACUGUACGAAUAA